rnacentral:rRNA from 1 species
CCUACGGGGGGCUGCAGUGGGGAAUAUUGCACAAUGGGCGCAAGCCUGAUGCAGCCAUGCCGCGUGUGUGAAGAAGGCCUUCGGGUUGUAAAGCACUUUCAGCGGGGAGGAAGGCGUUAAGGUUAAUAACCUUGGCGAUUGACGUUACCCGCAGAAGAAGCACCGGCUAACUCCGUGCCAGCAGCCGCGGCAAUACGGAGGGUGCAAGCGUUAAUCGGAAUUACUGGGCGUAAAGCGCACGCAGGCGGUCUGUCAAGUCGGAUGUGAAAUCCCCGGGCUCAACCUGGGAACUGCAUUCGAAACUGGCAGGCUAGAGUCUUGUAGAGGGGGGUAGAAUUCCAGGUGUAGCGGUGAAAUGCGUAGAGAUCUGGAGGAAUACCGGUGGCGAAGGCGGCCCCCUGGACAAAGACUGACGCUCAGGUGCGAAAGCGUGGGGAGCAAACAGGAUUAGAUACCCGUGUAGUC